UUUUUUAGCAUAACUUCUUUUCUAAAUUCCCAGUGUGAAUUAGCUUGUCUGUGAAUUCUGCACAACAGGGGUUCUCAAGCUUGUUCGUAGAGUAGCCCUUUUAUGAUUAAAUACCAUCUUUUGGGGAACCGCAGCAGUUGCUUGUGUGGAAGAGCUGCAAACCAGGCAAAGCGAGCAACAGUGGCAAUACUGGUGUCUGCAGGCCGUCAGCGAGCGUGCUGGCGUCUGACAGCUGCUGCUGAGAACCCUUGUGCCUAAAAUUUUUGGUAGCCUUCCCUGUACACACACUCGAAACAGCCUUCACAUGGCCAAGGACAAACCAAGGUGUAUGAUUUUUCAGGGGAACAAAGAUCAUCAGCUUUGUGAAACUGGGGUUUGAAGGAAGCUUAAGAGAAGUGCAUCAGCUCAAAGAUCCUUUUGAAUGUAAGUGCUCCCAAUUGAGUGCAAAGAGUAUUUUCCCAUUUUAUUUGGAAUGGUUUCCUCUAGUAGCACGAAUGUCUUUUUAAUACCUAUAGUGCAUUACACUACUUGUUAUGUUGUUGAAUCGUUCUGGCUAGGAAGGCCACAGGCCCGUCAACAUUCGCAUGUACUGGCUCACCCCAAAUGCAAUUAGAGAUCCUCAUAAAGCAAAAACAUCUCAGUUGCUCUGCUGCCAGCCAGGGCCAGCGCCCAGGUGUGCCCGCUGCCCGUGGGCACACUUCAGGGGGCUGCUGGGCCAGGUUUCUGCAGGCUCUCAGAUUUGGUGCCUCUUGGACGAUUCCCAACUUCUGGUGCCAAACUGUUGUUUUCUUCAUCGCUGGGAUUUGUAUCCCAGAGGCAAAUUGAGGCAAAUUAUUAUUUUUGAAGUAAUCUCUCCUUCUUCCAAUAGUUUGCUCUGAAGUUGCAGUCGCAGAGGCAGCAGAGCCACGCUGGAGGUUCAGGAGGAUGAACUGGACAGCAGCACGCUCGGCUCUCUCCAGGGAGACUGAAGCCCUGAACAGAGCAGGGGUGUUUUCUGAUUGCUGACAACGCAGUAGUGAGACUGGGGGCCUUCUGCAGAGUGCUGCUGUUGAACAGACAUUAAACCAAGGUCCCACCAGCCCGUUUCUGGUUGCAAUAGAAGCUCCAAGUCUCGAGACAGGAGAAAUGGCAAACGUGGUCAGCCAGCUCGCAGCCCUACCCACCCGGUAGUCUCAGGCUUUGUGUUCAGGUGCCUUGGUCCUCAAAGGCCCUGAUAGCUCAAACAAGAACAAGAUCCUGGAGAUCUUCGCUAGACAGAGGUCAGUGAGGAUUAGCUCUUCACAGCCAGUUGUCUUCUCCAGAUGACUCUUGCCCUUUUUGGCCUGGGAGGCCAGAACUACUGUUAGCCAGAGUCCACAUGCUGGGUUGGCAGCACCUCUCAGCCCUGGUAGUGGCAUCAGGGCAAAACCAGUGGUCUCCUGUAUUCCCCUUUUGGGGGGGUAGACAUCCUAACCCAUUUCUAAAAGACAGUCGCACCAGCCUGCUGCCAACUGCAGGAGUAACAGAACCUGAGGAUGAGCUGCCAGCGGGGACGGGGGUCACGUGUAGGUCUGAUUUCUCUGCUAGUGGCUUUCACAAACAGGCCUGUUUGGUGUAGAGCCAUCCCUUCUUGCUGGUUUUAUUUUCUCCCAUACAAACGCUACCUGCUUGGCAAGCACAGCUGGACACACGGGUAACACGUCUCUUGGCACUUGCAGGGUGGGAGAAACUUGUAGCAACAGAAAUUCUCAGACUACAGAGAGGAAGAAAAAAUAUCAGGCGAGAGUUUAGCUCAUUUUAAAACAUUUGUGCUAUGCUGUAGGUCCCACUGAGUAGAAAGCAAGGGAUGCUGCAGCAAGAAAACUUCACUGAAGGAGAAAUCCAAAGCAAGAAUAGCUUUUGAGGCUGUGGAACGUGUGCUGUGCUGCCCAGAAGAUAGGCAGAGGUGGGGACAGGAUCUGUAGCUUUCUUCUAAUGACAUGUUACAUGCUUUUACCAGGCUAGCCUGAGACUCAAAGAGCCACUCACAAGCUCCUUGUCAGUCUGGCAGGACACCUUUGCAUUCCUUUGUAAAGAAAGCUCCAAAGCUUAUCAUCAUGCCCAUAUCUGCAAGGCAUGAAGGAUAGGGAAGUGGACAGUUAGAGCUAGCACAGCUUUUAAGUGCUAGAAUUAAGGGUGAGGUCAGACUGCAGUGGUUUGUACAACCAUUUAAUGCCAGGUUGUACACAGCAGUGAGUUGGACCUUGGCUGCACAACCGAAGCAUACAAACGGAGGCUGCCACCACCCUUAACUUCAGUCAUGUCUCUUUCCUAGCUUACCACAUGGUCUCGGCGUCAGAUCUGGAGCUUUCUUGCUGUGAUGAGCAAAGAGAGGGUCUGACUGGCCCUCUCCCCCAUCCGAGUUACUGCCACCUCCAAGGCAGCAUUGGUUCUGGUUGUGCUAGCACCAAGGUGGAUAUCAAGCAAAUACGUAGCAAUAUCUGUUAGGCACAAUUCUCCCAAAGACUUAGAAACUCAACUUAGCAGCUGAAAAGCAGAACAAAACCUAAACCUCUAAAAUUGUGUAUCCUGGAAAAACAGUGAGAAGAAAAGCUGGCUGGCCAGCCCCUUCUCCGUCUAGGCAAUGGAAAAGUACAUGGCGGUUCGUGAGACUACUUAAGGUCACAGGGUAUUCUGCUCAAAAGUGCUUAUCAGUACUCUGUCAGAUCACAGGCUGACAUGUGUCUGAUGACGAGUGCCCCACGCUCAGUGUCCGUUCCAAGGACAGAAGCACAUCGGGAGCACGUGAACCUGCUCCACAUACAAAGUUUUUGCUCUUGUUUCUCCUUCCCUUUUCAGGGAUCAUAUUUUCAUUCAGGAAGUGCAGAUACUGUAGCAAGGUCUGAAUUUCAGAAACUCUUCAUUUGGCUCGGCAGAAAUUCUCUCUGUAGAGCAGCACGUGUAAGGAGAGCUACUCAUCCUGUUUUGGAGGCAGGAAAGGGAAUUCCUUUCUGCCUGCUGCUUGCUGCACAGCCAACCUUGCAGGCUCCUCUUUUCUGAGUUCACCGUUUGCUUGGAGAAUGGUUCCAGUCUUCGGAUGGGGAGCAAGCACCAGCAGAAGAUGGACUGGUCACAGUGAAAGGCUGGCAUGCCCUGUCUGAAGAUCCUUGUUAGUUACAGAAAACUCAAGAAGUAGGAAACAAAGGUAGAGUUCUUCAAAAUCAAAGGUUGUCUCUGUGGGAACAUGAGACCCAGAUGGUUAGUGGAGAAGAACAUGGAACCCAUAUUUUUUUUCCCCUAUGUCUCCUCUCUGUAUCUCUAGUGGUCUGGCUUGCAAGAUGGGCUUGGUGUCUUGGAACUGGUUAAGUUUCAGAUAGAAGCAAACUUGUUUUUUGUCAAAGCAUUUUCUGUUCUAGGAAAACUGAUGUGGUUUGAUAUGUCUAGUGCAAUCUAGAAAAUUUUCUCUGAAAGCCUGCAAUGGGUUAGGCUUUGCCUAACUCAGAUGUCUAUUAAUUACCAGUUGAACCAAUUUACCUUUGAGAUAAGCAUCCACAUAAACCACCUGCACUGGUUUUGCUAGACUGUGCUGUCUGGGUGUUUUCAGAGGAUGCUUUCAGAAGCAGCUCAGGGAAUGAGGAACUUUUAAGUGAAUUUUGCAAAUGAAUUUUGGGCAAUUAUGCUCAAAGCCCAAGAGCCGCUGAAAAUAGAGCAGAGACAGUUCUGAAAUUUUUGCUUGAGCUCUAAGCUGUGAUAUCUGAGCAUUGUUACAGUAUUCAGUGAGACGUCUCAGGUUGAUUGGUUGUGUUUUUUUCUUUAACUACUUGCAAUAACGUGGAAGAUUUUGUGUGCAUAGGAGCUGCUUCGUGUGCUUGCAGAGGCAGAGGAGUCUGUGUGGCCUUACCCAGUGUGAAGAACCCUUUCCACGCGCUGAACCCUGCACUCGGGGAGCCAGGAGGUGGUGUUGCACAGGAGCAGCAUGAGCAAGACCUGGUGCUACUCAGAGAGUACUGAAAGGUUCAUUUCUAGAAAGCACCAAGGUACUGGUAAAUCAAAGGAACGUUAAAGAGCAGCCAAAAAGUUGCUGAAAGAGCAGUAGUUCUGUUUCCGAUUGAGGCAGGACCUGUAUCUCUAAUUGAAUCUCUGGCUAAAGGAGGAGGAGAGAAGCUACUGUGAGCAUUCGGCACACACAGGAGAGAACGAGUUCCCUACAGAGUACUUGGGAAUAAUUGGAUGACAGUGAACAAAAGACUCUAAAAACAGAUUUUGGUACAUCUUUUACUGGGGAGAAAUCUGUUCUAGGAAUCAUCUGUUGUGGGAAUGUUUUCUGAGCCCUGUCAUUUAAAACCAGGCUGUGCAAAUAACUGGAGCAGACUCUGUAAGGCUCAACACACUGCCUCAGAGCUUACCGAGAGACUGGAUGUAGAGGUAGGGUUUAAUUGCCCUGGUGGAUGAGUCCAGUCCUGCUCCACAACCGAUAGGUCCAGGAUGGUCCGUAGAGCAUCUUCCUCCACAUCCUCUCAUUGACCACCACCACCAAACCCUUCCUAGCACUUGAUUUGUUCCUCAAUCCGGUUUCACAAUGGAAGGAGCUAGUUGACUGGCAGGAGUGAUGUGACACCAGUUCGGAGAGCAGAUGUCUUGUCCAACCUUGCACUGCCAAGGUGAAAGAAACUGGGGGUGGAGAAGAGUGCUGAAUAUUUUGCUGCUGCUGUUGCUGCUGUGCGUUUUCUGUGCUAGCCGGGAUGCUGAGUCCUUGGGAAGCAUCCCCGGAAGCACCCGGUGAAACUUAAGGUCCUUGGUCAGAUGCUUUUGAAGAUGUUGCCCUAUAGCAAUAAGAACUCCCCUUUUACGGUGCAUGGGACGUGUCCACGUGCCACGGGCAGUCAUCUUCCCUGGGGCUUGUGGGCAUGUCACAGAACAAACCGGCAAAUAAUGAAAUACAGGGAGAUGAAAAAAGCACAGCUCCAGUUCGAAUGCCUCUUUAGUACUGUGGGAGAGUUUGCUUAUGCUAGGCCAGAAAUGGUAAACCAAUGAGAGUGUAUUGCCCUAAAAUUUAAUUUCAUAUAUUGAAUGUUUGGAGGAUUUCUCUUUUAUUUGUUUGUUUGUUUGGCUGGCUGGUUAGUUGGGUUUUUACUACUCCUGUUAGAGUCCUUUGUUUUAUAACUUGACAGCAGAGUUUUGCUCACUUAGACAACGGCGUAUCCAGUAGACCCUCUAGGGCUAAUGAUCUGUAGGCAGCUGAGUUUGAAUUUUUAGAGUAGCUUCUGAAAUGAGCCACAUAAAUGGCUCGUUCGUGCACAACGUCAACCACUGACUGAAAGGAUUUUCUUUCUUCCCGUUACUCCAGCAUCAGUGACCACGCUCAGCGUGUCUUGGUGCCCGAGUGAGCAGCACAGCCUUAAGACAGGAAUAUUUCACAGUGGAAUCGAUGAGUACAGGCAUGUCAAACCCUCGCUUUGUGCAACCAAAGUUCCUUAAAAAUGACACUUCCAGCCUCAUCAGCCUUGAAUGUUCGUUUUCAGUCUUCUAGGAGUUCUUAUGGUGGUCUCUACAAUGCGUGUGGAUAGGAUGGUAUUUUUUUUUCCCCAGGAUGUUGAGGGUGGGAGCUGGGAGGGAUUUUUUUUUUUAAUUUUAUUUUUCCUUGCUAUCUAUGGAGAAGGACCUUUCCGCUCUAGGAAGGAGGCAUGUGUUCUGGAAGGAGCAACAGUCUUAGGAGCUGUUUUUCCAAAGUCCCUUUAACCUUUGGGGGACUUUAAUUUUUUUGUUUAAUUAUUUCAAAGCAAAACCUGUAAUGGAUAAACGGAGACAUUGGUGACAGGCGCCUGGCCAAGGCUGUAAGCCCCGGAGGACACACGUCGCCCAGGCCAGGAGCAUUCCGGGCCGCUCCGUAGCUAGGAAGUGUCACGCCGCCAAAUCCAGCCGUCAGGAAGCCCCCGUUUGCAGCCAGGCUGAAAAGAGAAGCUCUUCCUCGUCCGUACGUUCAUUUUUUUUUGAGACCUCCGGUUGGGAGCUGAGUUCUUGUUGUUUCGUCAAGAAAACGCUGUUCUCCUUCCCCUCCUCGCCCCCCUCCCUCGGUAACUCUUGUGCGUUUCCUUACGUUCUGUAGCUGCAGAUGUUCUAGGCAAUACCACAGAUGCACCUGCGUGUGUCUCUACCUGCGAGUGCAAGAAUCUCAUGUCAUCUUAAAAAAUACAAAAAAAAUAUACAAAAAAUAUACAAAAAAAUAUCUUUUUUAGGCCAGAGUUUUCUACAGGUAUUAAUGAAUAUUUUUCUUAAUCCUUAUAAGUUUUAUGUGUUUAAUAUUUCUUAAUACCGGUAGCAUUAAUUUAUACUUUUGUAGCAACACGAUAUUUUUAUAAACCGCCACCGCUGGCUUUGUCUUCAUAUUGGGGAAAUGUGUGGGCAGCUGGCCCCGCACUGUACCAUGUACUGUAUUUAAAAGGUUAUCUAAUGUCACACUUGCUGUGUUAAUAAACAAAACAAAACCUGUUUGAAGUCUCAUGUAUUGUUGGUGUGGAUCGAAUGACUCAAUAGAGAGCAAUAUUGCACGGGGUUGAGUUGCUGAUUUUCAUUGUGAUAUAUGAACGCUUGAGGCCAACUCAAGUUCUUCUGAUUUUUUUUUUUUCUUUUUAGGAUUUUUUGUUUUGUUUUUGUUUUGUUUUUUUACAGCUAAUUAAAUUCAGUGCUGUUUGAAACUUAGACUGACGUCAAAUGAAAAGGAUUAUUAAAAAAAAAAAAAAAAUCAAGGUGUUUAAAUGUUGCUGUUUUUACAAGUCUGUUGCUGUC